GAAAAUUAAAAAAGAUGGACGAAAGCCGAACUAUGGCUCAAAUCUCGGGGACCAACCAUGAAACUAUUUUGAAGAAAGAAGAUCACAAGCAAAAGAGAGGUAUUUUCUUCAUCAAUGAGCUUUAUCUAUGAAUGUAGAUUCUGUUCUUCUGCUUGCAAGUUGAUUCAAUUCCAUGCUACAUGUCAUAUUAUGUGUUUCUUUUUCUGUUUUUUAUUUUUAUUAUGGUUCUUCGAUGUUUAGUGUGAAUGUAGUUUAUUGCUGUUAUAAUUGCUUUUAGUUGCUUGUUCUUUGUAUUUUUGUUAUUUGUUUCGAUUUUGUGUUUCCCAACAGUUGUUUU
rnacentral:lncRNA from 1 species